AUUGAACGCUGGCGGCGUGCUUAACACAUGCAAGUCGAACGCGAAAGGGGCUUCGGCCCUGAGUAAAGUGGCGCACGGGUGAGUAACACGUGGAUAAUCUGCCCUUAUGAUCGGGAUAACAGUCGGAAACGGCUGCUAAUACCGGAUACGCUCAAAAUGAACUUUUUUGGGAAAGGUGACCUCUGCUUGCAAGUUACCGCAUGAGGAUGAUUCCGCGUCCCAUUAGCGUGUUGGUGGGGUAAUGGCCUACCAAGGCAACGAUGGGUAGCCGAUGUGAAGGGAUGAUCGGCCACACUGGGACUGAAGCACGGCCCAGACUCCUACGGGAGGCAGCAGUGGGGAAUAUUGCGCAAUGGGCGUAAGCCUGAGGCAGCGACGCCGCGUGAGGGAUGAAGGUUUUCGGAUCGUAAACCACUGUCAGAAGGGAAGAAACCGCACUGUGCUAAUCAGCAGUGCCUUGACGGUACCUUCAAAGGAAGCACCGGCUAACUCCGUGCCAGCCGCCGCGGUAA
rnacentral:rRNA from 1 species